rnacentral:rRNA from 1 species
UGGAAGUAAAAGUCGUAACAAGGUUUCCGUAGGUGAACCUGCGGAAGGAUCAUUACCGAGUGCGGGCCCUCGCGGCCCAACCUCCCACCCUUGUCUCUAUACACCUGUUGCUUUGGCGGGCCCACCGGGGCCACCUGGUCGCCGGGGGACGCACGUCUCCGGGCCCGCGCCCGCCGAAGCGCUCUGUGAACCCUGAUGAAGAUGGGCUGUCUGAGUACUGUGAAAAUUGUCAAAACUUUCAACAAUGGAUCUCUUGGUUCCGGCAUCGAUGAAGAACGCAGCGAAAUGCGAUAAGUAAUGUGAAUUGCAGAAUUCCGUGAAUCAUCGAAUCUUUGAACGCACAUUGCGCCCCCUGGCAUUCCGGGGGGCAUGCCUGUCCGAGCGUCAUUUCUGCCCUCAAGCACGGCUUGUGUGUUGGGUGUGGUCCCCCCGGGGACCUGCCCGAAAGGCAGCGGCGACGUCCGUCUGGUCCUCGAGCGUAUGGGGCUCUGUCACUCGCUCGGGAAGGACCUGCGGGGGUAGGUCACCACCAUGUUUUUACCACGGUGAAAUCGGAUCAGGAGAGUACCCG